UACGGAGGAUGCGAGCGUUAUCCGGAUUUAUUGGGUUUAAAGGGUGCGUAGGCGGGUUAUCAAGUCAGCGGUAAAAUCGUGGAGCUCAACCCCGUCGAGCCGUUUGAACUGGCGCGCUUGAGUUCAGGCGAGGUAGGCGGAAUUCGUGGUGUAGCGGUGAAAUGCAUAGAUAUCACGAAGAACUCCGAUUGCGAAGGCAGCAUACCGGCGCCCUACUGACGCUGAGGCACGAAAGUGCGGGUAUCGAACAGG
rnacentral:rRNA from 1 species